rnacentral:rRNA from 1 species
CUGACGAGUGGCGGACGGGUGAGUAAUGUCUGGGAAACUGCCUGAUGGAGGGGGAUAACUACUGGAAACGGUAGCUAAUACCGCAUAACGUCGCAAGACCAAAGAGGGGGACCUUCGGGCCUCUUGCCAUCGGAUGUGCCCAGAUGGGAUUAGCUUGUUGGUGGGGUAACGGCUCACCAAGGCGACGAUCCCUAGCUGGUCUGAGAGGAUGACCAGCCACACUGGAACUGAGACACGGUCCAGACUCCUACGGGAGGCAGCAGUGGGGAAUAUUGCACAAUGGGCGCAAGCCUGAUGCAGCCAUGCCGCGUGUAUGAAGAAGGCCUUCGGGUUGUAAAGUACUUUCAGCGGGGAGGAAGGGAGUAAAGUUAAUACCUUUGCUCAUUGACGUUACCCGCAGAAGAAGCACCGGCUAACUCCGUGCCAGCAGCCGCGGUAAUACGGAGGGUGCAAGCGUUAAUCGGAAUUACUGGGCGUAAAGCGCACGCAGGCGGUUUGUUAAGUCAGAUGUGAAAUCCCCGGGCUCAACCUGGGAACUGCAUCUGAUACUGGCAAGCUUGAGUCUCGUAGAGGGGGGUAGAAUUCCAGGUGUAGCGGUGAAAUGCGUAGAGAUCUGGAGGAAUACCGGUGGCGAAGGCGGCCCCCUGGACGAAGACUGACGCUCAGGUGCGAAAGCGUGGGGAGCAAACAGGAUUAGAUACCCUGGUAGUCCACGCCGUAAACGAUGUCGACUUGGAGGUUGUGCCCUUGAGGCGUGGCUUCCGGAGCUAACGCGUUAAGUCGACCGCCUGGGGAGUACGGCCGCAAGGUUAAAACUCAAAUGAAUUGACGGGGGCCCGCACAAGCGGUGGAGCAUGUGGUUUAAUUCGAUGCAACGCGAAGAACCUUACCUGGUCUUGACAUCCACGGAAGUUUUCAGAGAUGAGAAUGUGCCUUCGGGAACCGUGAGACAGGUGCUGCAUGGCUGUCGUCAGCUCGUGUUGUGAAAUGUUGGGUUAAGUCCCGCAACGAGCGCAACCCUUAUCCUUUGUUGCCAGCGGUCCGGCCGGGAACUCAAAGGAGACUGCCAGUGAUAAACUGGAGGAAGGUGGGGAUGACGUCAAGUCAUCAUGGCCCUUACGACCAGGGCUACACACGUGCUACAAUGGCGCAUACAAAGAGAAGCGACCUCGCGAGAGCAAGCGGACCUCAUAAAGUGCGUCGUAGUCCGGAUUGGAGUCUGCAACUCGACUCCAUGAAGUCGGAAUCGCUAGUAAUCGUGGAUCAGAAUGCCACGGUGAAUACGUUCCCGGGCCUUGUACACACCGCCCGUCACACCAUGGGAGUGGGUUGCAAAAGAAGUAGGUAGCUUAACCUUCGGGAGGGCGCUUACCACUUUGUGAUUCAUGACUGGGGUGAAGUCGUAACAAGGUAACCGUAGGGGAACCUGCGGUUGGAUCACCUCCUUACCUUAAAGAAGC